CUAUAUGCCUCACCGGAAACCCCGUGGCCGACUCUACUCGUCAGAUUUACCACCGUCGUAACCUCUGCUUCGUCUCCCAAGAAUUCCAACAGUUUACUGUUUAUAGCGGUAUUAAAGCAAUGGCAAGAAUCGGUUGCAAGCGGGACAUGCAACACUGGAUGAAGCGUAGGCGUGUGUCUAACUCUAGACGAACGUAGCCAACACGAGGUUUAUGUUUUUGCGGAAAAAUGGACGUCAUCUGAAGUUACAAAGCUAGCUUUGUUUAUCGUGCACUCUGCGCUACGUCAACGAUGUAAGUCUGCAAUAUGAGAUAUGUAACGUAACGAAUGAAGAAUGGCGGGAAAUUUGAAUUUGUAACAUGAACCAUGUAUCUCGUGAGAAUUGAAUUUUCGUGAAGAAAUAAAAGACCAAGGGGUAAUCGAACGGUCCCGAUGCAUCGAUUAUUUCAUCGAGCUGCCUGCUGAGAUUACUCAUCCACGUAGAUAUAGAAUCUCGUCGUGGGUGGUAACUAUAAACACGUUCCGCGAGCUUUCCUUCGUUCGAUGCAUCGUCUUAGCUCCUUAUUUCCUUUAAAAUGUCUGAUUUUCUUCUUAUUUCAAAAUUUCUCCUUCUCUUUUUUAUAAAAUGUCAUUUUUCUACUUAAUUCGAAUUCGUUCAUGCGAUUUGAAGUAAGUACGCGACUUCGAAUUUCGGAUGGUUUCAUGCAAUUUUCGAUUUAUUUAUAACUUAUUCUGCUCGACUUAGUUUAGUGUUGCCAAAUUGGAAAUUGUUGUGCUCAGGUGCAUAAUGAUUUUCACUUUGUGUAAUUGUACUCGUUAUAAAUAGGCCAAAGUUCCUCUUUUCCGAAAUAUGCACGUUCCAAACGCCUUACGUAACCUAACCUGAUCUAAUACAAAUUUCGAUCUCAGAGAAGAUUUUCGAUACGUUUCUUUGUUUCUUCCAUUUCUAUUUCAUACACGGUGGCUAUAACAAGUAUUCGUAUGCCAUUGCAUUUAUUAUUCCAUUUGUAGUAUAGUCAUUUGGUAAUAUAUGUUCUUCCAUUACAAAAAUCUGACACUAUGAAAAUAAAACGUGGAACCUUAAAAUAAAAUUACAAAACGCUUCUUCGCAGACUAAGGGACAAAAAGAUCUAUGUAGGUAUCCGAGGGUUAGCGGAACAGCCACAAUCAAAGAAAAAACUCCCUAGAACCCCGUGUCAGCGAAAUGAACUAUCAACGAUCGAGAACCCUUGGACGCUUUAUCUACUUCAUCUGUCUAUUUUUCUUUAUCUGU